rnacentral:rRNA from 1 species
GAUGAACGCUGGCGGCGUGCCUAAUACAUGCCAGUCGAGCGAACAGACGAGGCGCUUGCUCCUCUGACGUUAGCGGCGGACGGGUGAGUAACACGUGGAUCACCUACCUAUCAGACUGGGAACUUUAGGGAACUCGGGCCAAAAUCCGGUAUAAUCUCUUGAUCCGUGGGGUGAAUUGGAAAAUUUCGGUUUUUGGGGAUUUACUCGCGGAGUAUCAGCUUGUUUGUAAGGUAAUUAGUUACCGAGGUUUCGACGGGUAGCCGACCUGACAGGGUGAUAGGCCACACUGGAACGUAGACACGGUCCAGACGCCUACGGGAGGCAGCAGUAUGGAAUCGUCCGCAAUGGGCGAAAGCAUGACGGAGCAACGCCGCGUGAGUGACGAAGGUCUUCGGAGCGUAAAACUCUGUUAUGAGGUAAGAACAAAUGUGGAAGUAACUAUGCACGUCUUGACGGUACCGAAUCAGAAAGCAACGGCUAACUACGUG